GAUUAACGCUGGCGGCGUGCAUAACACAUGCAAGUCGAGCGAUGAAACUUAGUAGACUUCUUCGGAAAGACACCAAGCGGAUUAGUGGUGAACGGGUGAGUAACGCGUGAUUAACCUGCCUUACACACGGGGAUCGCCUUCGGAUACGAAGAAUAAUACCCUAUAACACUAUAAAAGCACAUGCUAUAAUGUUCAAAGUGCUAGCGGUGUAAGAUGGACUUGCUUCUGAUUAGCUUGUUGGAGGGAUAAAAGCUCACCAAGGCAACGAUCAGUAGCCGGCUUGAGAGAGUGUACGGGCACACUGGGACUGGGACACGGCCCAGACCCCUAGGGAAGGGAGCAGUGGGGAAUGAUGCACAACGCGGGAAAGCCGGAGGCAGCGAGGCCGCGAGAUUUAGAAGGCCGUCGAGUUGUAAUGAGCUUUUGUAUAGGAAGAAAAUGACAGUACUAUACGAAUAAGGUCCGGCUAAUUACGUG
rnacentral:rRNA from 1 species